ACCGCUGCCAGUUUCGUCGC
rnacentral:misc_RNA from 1 species